UCAGCACCACGUGCACUGUCCCCAGGCAGCAGCAGCCGCAUAUUGCACAGUGUAUACAGGCGCUUAUAUACUGUAUACACUACAAUGUACAGGGGAUAACACUGUGUGACAGCGAUACUCAGCACAGCAUGCCGUGUGCACGGGUGAAGGCAGAAACUACAAGAACCUUAACCUGAAGAUCAACCUCCUUAUAACUGUGUCAGUGUGGUAAAUUAACAGAGCCCUGGAAAAGACACAGCAAAUGCAAUGCCUGUGGAGCAAGGAUGUGGAACAACGUCAGUGGCUGCUAUGGGUCAGCCAAUCUGAGGAAGGAGGUCUGUCCCUCAAAAACGCAUCAUUGGUUUUAUUAUCAUUUAUUAAUAAAUAUAGUGCUUUGCAGCACUUUAAGUACAUUUAGCAUUUGCUUGAAUUUACUGGGAAAUAAGAACAGCGCCCAGCAAAGGUCCUUUUUUCCUCUACAUUCUUCAGAUUCUGUAUGGGAGAAGUCUUUUCUUCUUUCCCAUUCUACCUUGGGCUCAGCAGUUUGUCUCCAGAUGAUCUACACUAUCCCUUUUGGAUGAUAUGCGCAUAUUGUCUACUACCAGUUGUUAGACAGCGGUUUCCAUAAGGGGUCGUGCCACAUGUCAUGCCAUUUAUCUCCGGACUUACAACAUUUGUCACUUGAAGUUUAGAAUCUCCAACAGCUGCUCUCUUCAUUUCUUUCUGACUGCAGACCUGAGCAUUCCACUGGAAUGUGUGAUGACUUCAUACAAGAUUUCAACUGGAAGUAUUGCUUUCUUACUGUAAAUUUAUCUGCACAAGCAGAGAUAUAGACACUUCUUACCAUCAUUCCACAAGAGGCUGCUAUCAGCAUUACAUAUACUGUUAUACUAAGCAAUUCAUUUUAUAAACAGUAUCUACACUUUUAUUUCAGUUUUUUGUUAUUUUUUUUUUUUUAUAUUUGAGGUCUAUUCUUUUUUUUUUUAUCAACUGCUGAUUCUGUGGACCCAUAGUCAGAGACAUUAUGAUUGAUUUCACCAUGUCUUGGGUAUAGGGUGAGAUCCACGGUGUAUAUGCAACAAAGUCUGCAUGUAAUGCAUGAUGUUUUUGCUGUGUAUUUGUGACAGAUCUGUAUAAAAAUGGUGCAUGUGGAGUCACCUUAAUGGGAUGACUCCACAUGAACCAUUAUUUAAUCAGAGUGCCUAGGGCAGCAUGAGCUAGGACUGCCCUGCCCAUAGGGACUUUAUGUGCUGCAGUAGAGCAUCCAUGCAUAUAGCAUACCCCUGGUUUGGAUCCACCGUGGGUUUGGGCAUAAA